GCCUCGGUGGCUCCGAGGCAAAGUGCCGGCCUACGGAUCCCCAGGUGGCGGGUUCGAACCCCGUCCGAGGUG
rfam:Ixodes scapularis strain Wikel colony gcontig_1108378762160, whole genome shotgun sequence.